GACGUAGGGCGCGAGCGUUGUCCGGAUUUAUUGGGCGUAAAGAGCUCGUAGGCGGCUCGUUGCGUCGGCUGUGAAAACCCGCAGCUCAACUGUGGGCUUGCAGCUGAUACGGGCGGGCUGGAGUUCGGUAGGGGAGACUGGAAUUCCUGGUGUAGCGGUGAAAUGCGCAGAUAUCGAGAGGAACACCUGCGGCGAAGGCGGGUUGCUGGGCCGACACUGACGCUGAGGCGCGAAAGCUAGGGGAGCGAACGGG
rnacentral:rRNA from 1 species